rnacentral:rRNA from 1 species
CGCUGGCGGCGUGCCUAAUACAUGCAAGUCGAACGGUCUUUCUAUGGAAGCUUGCUUCCACUGAGAAGAUAGUGGCGAACGGGUGAGUAACACGUGGGUAACCUGCCCAUAAGAGGGGGAUAACAUCCGGAAACGGGUGCUAAUACCGCAUAGUUUUCUUGAUCGCAUGAUCGGGAAAGGAAAGACGGCCUUUGUGCUGUCGCUUAUGGAUGGACCCGCGGCGUAUUAGUUAGUUGGUGAGGUAACGGCUCACCAAGACGAUGAUACGUAGCCGACCUGAGAGGGUGAUCGGCCACAUUGGGACUGAGACACGGCCCAAACUCCUACGGGAGGCAGCAGUAGGGAAUCUUCCGCAAUGGACGAAAGUCUGACGGAGCAACGCCGCGUGAGUGAAGAAAGGUUUUCGGAUCGUAAAACUCUGUUGUCAGAGAAGAACAAGUUGGAGAGUAACUGCUCCAGCCUUGACGGUAUCUGACCAGAAAGCCACGGCUAACUACGUGCCAGCCGCGGC